rnacentral:rRNA from 1 species
GGGGGAUAUUGCACAAUGGAGGAAACUCUGAUGCAGCAACGCCGCGUGAGGGAAGAAGGUCUUCGGAUUGUAAACCUUUGUCCUUGGUGACGAAACAAAUGACGGUAGCCAAGGAGGAAGCUCCGGCUAGCUACGUGCCAGCAGCCGCGGUAAUACGUAGGGAGCGAGCGUUGUCCGGAUUUACUGGGUGUAAAGGGUGCGUAGGCGGCUCUGCAAGUCAGGUGUGAAAACUAUCGGCUCAACUGAUAGACUGCAUUUGAAACUGUGGAGCUUGAGUGAAGUAGAGGUAGGCGGAAUUCCCGGUGUAGCGGUGAAAUGCGUAGAGAUCGGGAGGAACACCAGUGGCGAAGGCGGCCUACUGGGCUUUAACUGACGCUGAAGCACGAAAGCAUGGGUAGCAAAC